AACGCAAGUUGCGCCCGAAGCCAUUAGGCCGAGGGCACGCCUGCCUGGGCGUCUCGCAUCGCGUCGCCCCCCACCCUGUGCCCGCAAAGGGUUCGUGGGUCGAUGGGGGCGGAUUUUGGCCCCCCGUGUGCGCUAGUGCGCGGUCGGCGUAAAUAUAAGUCCCGGGUGACAAACGUCACGGCGAGUGGUGGAUGUCAUACCCUUGCGUCGCGUCGUGCACGUCUUGAGACCCCGGGUUGUUUUGUUUUUGAUCCUCGAGCACCGUUUUUGCGGAGCCUUGACCGCGACCCCAGGUCAGGCGGGAUUACCCGCUGAGUUUAA
rnacentral:misc_RNA from 1 species